UUUGAUCAUGGCUCAAAACGAACGCUGGCGGCGUGCUUACCACAUGCAAGUCAAACGCAAAAGGGGAUUUCGGUUCCCAAGUAAAGUGGCGCACGGGUGAGUAACGCGUAAUUAAUCUACCCCUGUAUCUGGAAUAACCUACCGAAAGGUGAGCUAAUACCGGAUACUUUUGAAAUGAUGCGAGUCAUUUCACAAAAAGGAGGCCUCUGCAUAUGCUUCCGUACAGGGAUGAGCUUGCGUACCAUUAGCUAGUUGGCAGGGUAAUGGCCUACCAAGGCAACAAUGGUUAGCGGGUCUAAAAGGAUGAUCCGCCACACUGGAACUGGAACACGGACCAAACUCCUACGGGAGGCAGCAGUGAGGAAUAUUGCGCAUUGGGGGAAACCCUGACCCACCGCCCCCGCGUGAAUGAUGAAGGCCUUUGGGUCGAAAAAUCCUGUCAAAUGGA
rnacentral:rRNA from 1 species